CGCUCAUCCAGAGGGGCAGAGGGAUACGGCCCGUUGAAGCCCCGGCAACCCUCCAGCCGGUCUUGCCGCAAGGACGCUCGAUACGUCCCGCGCGCGAGGCUCCCGGCUAGGGAAGGUGCCAAAUCCGUCUCGUGGCGAGAUUCGUCGCGAGGAAGAUGAGGA
rnacentral:ncRNA from 2 species